AACGAACGCUGGCGGCAUGCCUAACACAUGCGAGUCGAACGAGACCUUCGGGUCUAGUGGCGAACGGGUGCGUAACGCAUGGGAACCUGCCCUUAGGUUCGGAAUAACUCCCCGAAAGGGGUGCUAAUACCGGAUAAUGUCUUCGGACCAAAGAUUUAUCGACUUUGGAUGGGCCCGCGUUAGAUUAGCUAGUUGGUAGGGUAAAAGCCUACCAAGGUGACGAUCCAUAGCUGGUCUGAGAGGAUGAUCAGCCACCCUGGGACUGAGACACGGCCCAGACUCCUACGGGAGGCAGCAGUUGGGACUAUUGGACAAUGGGCGAAAGACUGAUCCAGCAAUGCCGCGUGAGUGAUGAAGGCCUUAGGGUUGUAAAGCUCUGUUACCCGGGAUGAUAAUGACAGUACCGGGAGAAUAAGCUCCGGCUAACUCCGUG
rnacentral:rRNA from 1 species